GAAAGAAUAAAAAAAAGACAUGAAAUAAAAAAAAAAUAAAAAAAACACACUCCAUGUUAACACACUCCAAAAACAGAUCAGACAAGCAAGGGCGGCGAGGUGGCCGAGUGUGUUUAGAAUAACUGCAGUCAAGGCCGUCUGAGAGCGAGCGUUUGAACUGCUGAUGCGUCCUUGAGCAAGGCAAUGAAUCUUACAAGCUUAAGGACAAAUGUUUGAAGCUGAACCCUGACCUUUGAUCUCUGUGGAAAGUGACUGAUUGGAGGAAGAAGUGAAACAUAAACAUAAUUAGAAGCAACCCUGUGAUAAGGGAAGAUGUAAGUUCAGUCAUUAACACACAGAAUACAGCUGUACUGGUAAAAGAAAUAGAUCUAUACACAGUUAUGUAAAUAAAUUAAGUAUUUGAUUAUUAAAAGGGAAAAUUCUGUAUUCGUCCUCCAACAGUCUAACCUCUUUCAGUAUUGUUUUAUCGUUUUGUGUUGGCAUUUUUGUUAUUGCACCACAUUUCCAUGUGGGCUACUUGACAAACUACAUUAAAAGCCAUGCGUGUAAUCUUGUCGAUCUACUGAGCGCAGAUUCUCCUUCAUGGUGUUUUUCACAGAGACUCAGCAGCAGCAGAAAACACUGACAGUCAUGGAAACUAAAGGAGCAACACCCAUCACUCAAAUUAAGCUAGUGGUGUUUUAAAACUACACCGGGCGAACUAUGAACUAGUUGUCGAGCUAAUCCUAAAGAAGAUAAAAGCAAACAGAUCGCCUCCAAUUUGCUUUAAAUCUUUGUGCCAAAUACGUUGACACCAUGAUUAUUGUCACUCAGGGUUACUGUACUGGAAAAAUUCCCAACAAUUCACUGUAAUUUUUAUGCAAAAGGCAAAUAUUUAUACAGCAGGAAGGCUUUCAAUAUGGUAUCAACAAACAACGACACCAAGGAUAAAGAAGGAUGAAGGACACAAAGAAGGAAUGGAUGUAGGACACAAGAGUUUAGAUCAAGCCUAAAGAAAUGAGACCAACCCAACCCGAGCCCAUAGACAUUGUGCUGAAGCCUGAUCCAACCUGACUAAUUAACUCUAAUUAGAGAGCCAAGCCCGAAGUAAACCUGAUCUAUUACUUUAAACUGCUACCAGAUUAAAAUCCUUCCAGACCUCCGACUUUGCACUCUGCUGGCUUAUUAGCGUAAUUUCCUCCGUUUUUAGCUAAGUGUAACAUGUUCCAGCUCCAUCUUGUUGCUUGUUGUGACUGCAGGGUGAGUCAACAGCAAAUGAUCUGGGAAGUGUGACUGACAGGAGCAGGGCGGGGCUGCAUGCGCCUCGACUGCGCUCGCUACAGUCUGAUUAGCUUCUGCACCUCACUUUGAUUCCUGACCAGGCUAAACUGGCCGCCCUUCUAUUUAGACUAGAAUAAGUAGAUUAAAACAUAUUUAUGUUGUCCAUUCUCUUUCAGGUUUUUCUGUGCUGGAACCUGACUGCCCAAAUGUCAGGUCGGGUCGGCCUAUUGAUCUAAACACUAAAAGAAAGGAAGGAAAGAGAAAGGAAGGAUAAAAGAAGAAAAGACUAUAAAGGAAGAAAGGAUAGGAUGAAAGACGGAAAGGUGGGAUGGAAACAACUGAAGUAGGACACAAGAAAGACAAAAAAUGGGAUGACAUAAGGGUGGAAGAAAGAAAGGUUAUAAGGAAGGAAGCAAAGACAGAAUAGGGAAAAAUAAUAUAUUUAAGGAAAAGAAAAAAAAGGAAAAAGGGAGCAAAGAAGGAAGGAAACACUAGGAAGGAAAAAGUGAAGAGGGAAGGUAGGACAUAUAGGAGGGAGUAUGGAAGGACACGAGGAAUUUAGAGGAAGAAAAAACAAGAAGAUGAAAAAAACUGGACAGAAAGUGAGAACAGAAGUAAGGACGCAUUUAGACAGGAGACGCCGUCCCUCCCCGGCCGGUUAAAGACAGCUUGACUUGUGGGCCGCUGGUGCUGAGCGCUCUCACCAGACACCUUUAAUCUAAACCAGAGCACGCUGGGAUGACUGUCCAGGCCUUCAAGCUGACAGAAGGCAGAAGAAAACACACUGUUUCCUCUUUCAAGACUGCUGCAUUAGUCAGGCUGCUCUGUGUCUCUGUGCAUGUGCGCAUCAGGCAUUACAUCAUUGUCUCGCUGCAAGUUAAGAAUAGCCCCGUCAGAACCGGCGCUGACUUAUUGGGAGCAGUACAAUCCAAAGAUAUUACUGUAGGUCUAUCCGUGUGGGAAUAUGAUGACCUCCUUACGUUAUAGAUGAACUCGACUCCUUUCUCGUUCCUACAUACCGGGGCCCUCCAGGACUUCCGCGCAGCUGAAAACCUCCAUCCAGCAGUGCUGUGCAGACGCUUCUGUCAUUUUUCUCUGCCUCAGUGUAUGAAACGUGACUGGUUUUAUUUUUUUUCUUCUGUGCGUGCGUUUCGCCACAGCCAAUCCGGGGCCGUACUUGUCAUCAAUGUCAGGAUGCACCUUCUGUUAAGACCAUCUUAAAGCUACACCCGUGGGAUUAGGCCUUGUAGGGAUGUAUUACGGAAUCACACACACACACACACACACACAAAGCUGAAAAAUGAGACGGCAUCAGAGCGGAAUGGGCAUGGCCCGGUUAAACCUCGAAAAUGUUCCAACCUGAUUGAUACCCAGCUGUUCAGAAACGUAAAAAAAAUCUGAUCUAUUUCCAAUCAGUAAACCCACUAUAUCUAGGAGCAGUAAGAUGACAACCCUCUUCAGUGUGGACGCUGUUAGUGUGUGAAGAAGACUUUUCCACUAAAACUGUCUUCUUCAAACUGCGCCCCCUAAUUGUCCACAAGGUACCACAUGUAAACAAACAGUUAUUUGCCGUAACGUGAGCUCAAAGUGAAAUGUGUACAGUUAGCUUACCGAAUAACUAAAAAUAAUAAUCGAUAAGUGGGUUAAGACCGGGUUAUCAUUUUAACAUGGAACUCUUUGCCUUGAUAAAACUUAAAAGAGCUUACACAAUAAAAUACUAUGAUCUUUGAAAGGAGGAAUGUAUGUCUACAGGAGUAUUUUUCAGUUUCUCAGUGUGAAUUGCACAACAGCAGGCCACCAGCACAUAUACCCUUAGCUAAAAGUAGUUAAUUCAAUAAGGGCAG